CCGAGUUUCCAAAACUCCCAACCCAUGUGAACCUUACCUCUCGUUGCCUCGGCGGGACGCCCCGGGACCCCCCUUCGGGGCCCGGACCCAGGCGCCCGCCGCAGGACCCCUCAACUCUGUUUUCAGUGGAAGCAUCGUCUGAGUGAGAAGAUUUAAUAAAUCA
rnacentral:misc_RNA from 1 species